UACGGAGGGUGCAAGCGUUAAUCGGAAUUACUGGGCGUAAAGCGCACGCAGGCGGUCUGUCAAGUCGGAUGUGAAAUCCCCGGGCUCAACCUGGGAACUGCAUUCGAAACUGGCAGGCUGGAGUCUCGUAGAGGGAGGUAGAAUUCCAGGUGUAGCGGUGAAAUGCGUAGAGAUCUGGAGGAAUACCGGUGGCGAAGGCGGCCUCCUGGACGAAGACUGACGCUCAUGCACGAAAGCGUGGGGAGCAAACAGG
rnacentral:rRNA from 1 species